rnacentral:rRNA from 1 species
GACGAACGCUGGCGGCGUGCCUAACACAUGCAAGUCGAGCGAGUAAAUCUCCUUCGGGAGUGAAGCUAGCGGCGGACGGUGAGUAACACGUGGGCAGCCUGCCUCAUAGAGGGGAAUAGCCUUCCGAAAGGGAAGAUUAAUACCGCAUAAGAUUGUAGCUUCGCAUGAAGUAGCAAAUUAAAGGAGCAAUCCGCUAUGAGAUGGGCCCGCGGCGCAUUAGCUAGUUGGUGAGGUAACGGCUCACCAAGGCGACGAUGCGUAGCCGACCUGAGAGGGUGAUCGGCCACAUUGGGACUGAGACACGGCCCAGACUCCUACGGGAGGCAGCAGUGGGGAAUAUUGCACAAUGGGGGAAACCCUGAUGCAGCAACGCCGCGUGAGUGAUGACGGCC